rnacentral:rRNA from 1 species
GAUGAACGCUGGCGGCGUGCCUAAUACAUGCAAGUCGAGCGAACAGACGAGGAGCUUGCUCCUCUGACGUUAGCGGCGGACGGGUGAGUAACACGUGGAUAACCUACCUAUAAGACUGGGAUAACUUCGGGAAACCGGAGCUAAUACCGGAUAAUAUAUUGAACCGCAUGGUUCAAUAGUGAAAGACGGUUUUGCUGUCACUUAUAGAUGGAUCCGCGCCGCAUUAGCUAGUUGGUAAGGUAACGGCUUACCAAGGCGACGAUGCGUAGCCGACCUGAGAGGGGGAGCGGCACACCUGGAACUGAAACCGGGGCAAGACCCCCAGGGGGGGCAGCAGGAGGGAAUUCUCCGCAAGGGGCGAAAGCCUGAGGGAACAACGCCGGGGGGGUGAAGAAGGUUUUCGGAUCGUAAACCUUUUUUAUUAGGAAAAAAAAAAUGGGAAAGUAACUAUGCACCUCUUGACGGUACCUAAUCAAAAAGCCCCGGCAAACUGCGG